rnacentral:tRNA from 1 species
UUCUGUGGCUUAGUUGGUCAAAGCGCCGGUCUAGCGAAUGCGGAAUCGUGGGUUUAAAUCCCACCAGAA